rfam:Clostridiales sp. SS3/4 draft genome.
GGGCUUGUACUGGUUUCGACGGGGGCUUUGAAGCUGGUGAAGCUAUCCGCAUGCAAUGCGUUAAAUGGCAAACCUAAAUAUAAACGCUAACGACGAAUUAGCAUACGCAGCCUAAUUUAGGCAGCUGUCGGCCUUAGAAUACCUGCAUUUUAAGUAACCGGCAUCAUUUAAAGCAGGAAACGACACGUGCAAAGCUUUGCGCACGCGGGCGUAUGAUGAAGCUACCAAACGGAUCAGGAUGUCUGCUUUCGGGUUCGGGCGGGAAUUCUAAAUAACAGACUAUGAUAGUAGAAGAACAGGGGAUAGGUUUUCGGACAGGGGUUCGAUUCCCCUCAGGUCCACGA